GCCAGGCGUGGUGCUGGAUGCCUGUAGUCCCAGCUACUCGGGAGGCUGAGGUGGGAGGAUCACUUGAGCCCAGGAGAUCGAGGCUGCAGUGAGCCGAGAUCGCAUCACUGCACUCCAGCCUGGGUGACAGAGUAAGACCCUGCCUCGU
rnacentral:sRNA from 1 species